UGCCAAAGUUCAUAUUUUUUUGGUUGUAACUCGGCGGUAAAAAGAGAGUACUCUGAAUACAAACGUUUAUUUAAUAGUAACUCUUGGACGUUCAAGAGCAAACAAAGCACAACUUGUAUUAACUUUGAAUUGAACGUAAAUAGAGAGCCACAACGGGCGUCGGCGAGUUUUGAGGGUCCCGAGAAGCAGUUCUUCCUCUACUUACAGAACGUGUACCACGCGACCGCGACCGACGCAAUAGUAACGCGGGAUUCAUUCAUAAGAUCCUCAGGUAGGAACCAAGAGCUGGACGGUCAGGUAUUCGUAAUUAAGUUUUUUUCUUCUUCGCCGCAGCGACUACGAAUGGAUCCACCGCAGCACGCAGGAUGGCCGCCACGUAAGGCUGGAUACCGGAUGAAGAAUUGACGUGAAGAAACUCUUCGGGGGCUGCUUCACAUUUUUCAAUGGAUAGAUUCCGGGGGCGACCUCGCAUCAUGGCAAGGUCGUUCAACGUAUAGACGAAAAUUAUUUGGAGAUUGUAGUGACAGGCACAGGAUGUUUAGCUUUGGAAGGUGCUAAUUUUGUGGUAUUUUGGUUCGCAAACUAGUACGAUGUAAUUUUUUGUUUUAUUGCGACGUUAAUUUUCUACGUAGUAUGAUGACUAAGAAAUUACGAGAGCAGUUAAGAAAAGUUCUCGAAUUUCACAACAAAUGUGUUUUAAAUAUAAACAAUUAGUUCUUCUUAUUGUUGGAUGAGGAAAUCUUAAUAUUGCAACAGAUUAGUACGUUUUCUGAAAAUGAUUUGUUUUCUGGUUUUUAUCGCUCUACAACUUUACGGACAUUACCGUUAUCUUUAUAACGUAAUAACUACCUAUCUUCUUUCUAGCUAAACGAAUAUGAACUUAAUAGAGUUUUAAUGUUAGCAAACUUUAAGUAUCAAGUGAGGUAAUGCUAAAUAGAGUUAUAAACCAUAAAAAGUAAUAGAUUUGAUCUUUAACCCGACCAAUUAAAUUCUAAUACUUAAAUUGCUUAUUUUUUCAUAUAAUUUUCUCGAAACAACUUCUGUAUAAACUAUUAAUCUUUAAAAUUACGACAAUGACGACCAAUUUUCUAUACAAAACGGCACUUGUAGUGUGUAAAUUGGAGUUGAACGUCGUCGAUACGUCUCUCGGUAGCAAUCAGCUAACGACCGCAUCUCGUCUCGAAUUCCAGGGAACUUUCUUUCGGUCCGUAGCACGAAAGCAAAUAGUUCCACGUCUCAAUUAUAGCCCAUCACGCGCGUUCCUUAAAGCGAACCGAUCGACAAUGAACGUUUUUCUUCUUCCAGAGUCCAGCGGCGGCACCGGCACGAACGAAUACAUCUUCUCUCUCCGCUUUUCAUUCUGCGGCCGCCAACGUCGUGACGUCCGUAAUGGAUCGCCCCGUGUGCACCGGGAAACAUUCCGGGGAUUCUUCAGCCCGCGGGUCGUGUGCCCGAUUGUGACCUCUCCGAAAUCCGACCGGACUCGAGAUGCUGUGGAAACGAGCGGACUCGAUUGACGUCUUUCUCUUCAUCUCUCGCCGGUUGAGAUGAGUUCGCUUUAUAUCCUUUUCUUCAUUCUUCACUUUUCUCAGAAUACGUAAAACGUCCGAGAAUUUUUGAUUUACAUUUAUUUGACGUUUUCUCUUGUUUUGUUAUGGUUGGCUGACUUUACGACUUACUGGUUUCAUGUCAGCCUAUACUUUAACUUAAGAUUACAUUUAUUUUCUUUUAGAAAAAGUUUUUAUGGAUGGUUUAGAAUGUCAAAUUAGAUUAGAAUCCAACUAAUUAACAAUAACUCAUUUAUGACUCUUUAUUAUUUUUAUCUUCAACGACAUUUCCUUUUUGCUGUUUGGAUUUUUAGAUCUAAUAACACUAUAAUAAGAUAGCACAUUGUGAUUCUCAACUAGUCUCAUUGUCAAAGAUGUUGUUUUAGGACCAACAACGUGAUCUAAUCUUUGUUUUCUAUGUAAGUCAAUAACUGUUCAGAAUCUCUUAGACACAAUUGUUGCUUUGGAAGGUGCUUUCAGUUGGAUUUUGACAACUUAUUUAGUACGGGUGGCGGAACUGGUUUUGUAACUUUAAAGAAAGGAAAGAAUAGAUAAGAAUAGCAAAAAACUGGAAACAUUUGGAAAUUUCUAUGUUCAGCAGUGGAUACAACUGGAACAAAAAAAGGAUAAGAUUAAGGCGAUAGAAAAGAAUUUUUUGACAAAUUGAUUGCCAAAAAUCAACUCGCUCAUAAUUUUUUAGGAAAAUAAAAAUAUUUUAAAACGAGACCACCUUUUAACAUCGGCCAGAAAGGAUUGGGGUUUACGACUUAAUAAAAAAUGUUCUGAGGAAAUAACUGUUGUGCAUUCUUGUAACGUUGAUCGUGUAGCUUGAUUUACCAGAAACGAUUUAAAAAAAUUUUUAAUAAUAAACAACCAUACUGAAUAAACUUACAUUUACAAUUCUUACAUAUUAGGUAACAAGCUUUUGAGAGAUUUUUGAGACUUGACAGAAUGCGCUUAAAGGAUGUCUUAGAAAUAAUGAAAAUAAAAGGACUAAACCAUAAGCUAAUUAAUCUAAAAUACAACAUUAAUACUCAAACAAAAAAAAAUCAGAGUAGGACAUAUGACAACAAAAAAUAUAUAUGUAAACACAGGGAUUAGACACGGCGACUCAUGCAGCCCCAUCAUAGUAUUUAAUCUGAUAAUGGAUAAAAUAAAAGAAAACCUUCCCAGAACAGCUGGAUUCUAGAAACACAUUCUUCCAUGCCGUCUGCUACGCUGAUGAUGCUGCCCUUGUUGUAGAUUCUGAGAACAACCUCCAAAGGUUAAUACAUUCUUUUAACACUAAAGCAAAAAAAUGAUAUAUGCUCAUCAACACCGAGAAGACCAAAUACUUAUAAGAUGUAAGCUGGAUAUCGACUCCAAGGCUGUCAAUUCGGUAAAUCGCUUCAAAUAUUUGAAGGCAGAAAUAACGAGGCACGAAAAUCUUUCUAACGAAUUGAAAGAGUAAACAAUGAAAGCGGCUCGAAUUUCGGGAUGCUUGCGAAAGAUUGUUUUUAAGAUCACAUACAAAAAGGUAAAUUAAGAUAUAUAAAACAGCUGUAAGACAUAUCAUAGCAUACAUGGCAAAGACAAGACCAGAUACAAGCAAGACUCUACAAAUGAUGAUAAUACUCAAAAGAUCACAGAGAAGAUGACCAAAACGAUGACAAGAAUGUUGAACCUCAUUUUUUGGAGACGACGUGUUGGCAACGAACAGGCCGAAGCAAUAUGGAUAUCCAUAUUAGAAAGAAGAAGUAUGUGACACGACGACCGAAGAAUAUCUUAAGAGACUAAAGAACAAUAAUCUUUUUUGCAAACUUUUCCAUUGGGCAGGUACGCUAGUAAUGAUUUAAAGGACCAGAUACAAUGAAGAUGGGUCUUCAGAAAAAUCAAUGUUGGACUGGCGAGUUGAUCAUUAAAAGAAAUGAUAUAUAGUUAAAAUUAGAAACAAUUAAAUUUAUCCUAUCCAUUGGUAUUUAAAUUUCACAUAUAAAUUGAGAAAUAAAUCUUAAUGUAAAUCUUUUGAUUAGGAGUUGAUUGGUUUACAUAAAUAAGUUUCUCACGGUGAAUAGUUAAAGAUAUCUUUGAAAUGGGUUUCUUAAAACUAGAUUGUCAAAGUAAUGCAAUUAAUAUAAGUGACAGUGGAAUGUCGAUUUGACAGCUGCAAGCGGUGCGGCGCCCCUAACAUAGGCGGAAACGUAGAUUUCAAUUUUAUGCUAAUUACGUUGCUAACGUGUAUACGUUAGCGGAGUGCGGAUGCCAUUCCGAAGUGGACGGAUAUUAAUUGCCGUACUUAAUCAGCGUCCAUUGUGCGUGCUCUCGUACAAGUCGUUGCUUAAGUGGUCGACGUACUAAACGGAUUUAAUGCCGCGGUACUGUGCGAUGAUGUGUCCUGCUUAAUUUAGGUGAUCUGAAUAGCUCCUCGAUAUUUCAUAACAACCCAAACGGCGCGGUGCCGAAAAGGAUCGCGACCGUAACAUUUCCGGUAUUUUUAACCGAGUUCAUCUUGAAUCAUUGCGGCGGUAAAAUUCUUUAUUGUUUGCAAUUAGCACUGAAAACUGCGACGACACACUUUGAUGGCAGUAGACAUCGUCAAUAAAAACAAUAAAAAUCAACUUGCGUUAUUUUUAGCAAAAAUAUCAUUGUUAUUGAAUUGAUGGUCGCUGAUGAAAAAUGUUCUACUUCUAACAAUAUACAGUUAGCUAUUUAUACAAUCCCAUGUUUAGAAUGUCCGGGGCAAAGUGGCUGUGCUCACCGGUUAAUUACCAAUUAAAGCGUCGGAAAACUGCAUCUCGUGCAGUAAUGCACGGAAAUAUUGCUUGCGCUUCCUUGCUGCGAUUAAAAGGUUGUUAUUUCUAAUUACUCAGGCUUAUACAGGAGCCGACUGUAAUCGUUAAGAGGAUGUUUAUGGCAGCCGAUCCCCAAACCAUUCCCGACUCCAAUAAUCCUCUAAAAUAUGCAAUGCUACGAAACAACGUUCGGAUUUAGCGAGAACAAAUCGCAGAAAACAUGGAGCUAAACGUUCAUUAUUAAUUAUAAAAGGGUCAAGAUCGUAAUGUACCGAUUAUAGCUCAUAAAUUGUGGUCAAGAAAUUAAAUUUUUGUUUUUCGUUUUCUGAACAACAAUAAUACUAUGAAAUAAUACUCUUUGUAAGAUAAAUAAUAGGAGAUAAUGAAUUGUUAUGGUUCGUAAUUGCUGUGUUAGCAAUUUCUAGAACUUCUCUGUAAAAUAUUGGAAAUAAUAAAGUGACAAAAAUACCAGGAAA